UACGGAGGGGGCGAGCGUUAUUCGGAAUUAUUGGGCGUAAAGGGCGCGUAGGCGGCUUGACAAGUCAAAGGUGAAAUCCCUCGGCUCAACUGAGGAACUGCCUUUGAAACUGUCUGGCUUGAGGCCGGGAGGGGGUAGCGGAAUUCCCAGUGUAGCGGUGAAAUUCGUAGAUAUUGGGAAGAACACCGGUGGCGAAGGCGGCUAUCUGGACCGACAUUGACGCUGAGGCGCGAAAGCGUGGGGAGCAAACAGG
rnacentral:rRNA from 1 species